UUUUCUUUCCCUAUAUUACGCAGAUACUAACCCCCAAGAAAAGCGGGUUAUCGUGACAACGUCUAUGCAGUCACAGCCGAAAGUAAUGAGUUGAGCCUUGUCCUACCAAGUACCAAAAAAAUUCUGAGUAAUGGUGUUUUUCACCAGCCAGUAGGUUUUUCUGCUGGCUUUUUC
rnacentral:sRNA from 1 species